AUGGAGUAUGCCUUUGUAGUCUGGUUUAGAACUUUCCUGAAAUUGACAUACCUGCGGGAUUCAAAGACUACGAGACACUUCCGUUUCCUCAAUCACCUUGGUUGUUGUUGGUGCACUGUCAAUCAGUGUCAGAGCUCAGAGGUGGCUGUUAGUGCACCCUCACAAGUGAGGAGCCUUUUCGAUCUGUCGGAAGUACAAACCACACAGCAUACAGCUGGGGAUCUGCUUGGCUUUUAUUUGGGAUUUGUGAGUGGGGACGGCUCUCACUCUGCAGAAAGGCUGGCUUUGUAAGGUAGGAACAAGGAAACAGAAGAGUCAGUAAAAGCCGCCUGACUGGCAUCUGCCUAAGGCCGGUUCCUGUUUUCUGUGCCCAGCAGCAGGAGGGUCCUUACUGGUAGGGCUCAUGUAGACUGCAAGGUUCUAUAUUCAGGGCAAAUUUUUGUUUUGAGAUCUUUUUCCCUUUUAAUUACAGUUUGGCUAUGUGGCACUGAGCAUGAGUGAGUGAAUCCAGUUUGGUUUGGUCUGGUGCUUGGUCCUAUUGCAGGACCUUAGGCUAGAAGAAUGCCAUUCAUAAUCCAC
rnacentral:lncRNA from 1 species